AUGGCCUCCCUCAAGACCUCCCUCAGGGCCUCCCUCAGGACCUCCCUCAGGGCCUCCCUCAGGGCCUCCCUCAGGACCUCCCUCAGGGCCUCCUUCAUGGCCUCCCUCAGGACCUCCCUCAAGACCUCCCUCAGGGCCUCCCUCAGGACCUCCCUCAAGACCUCCCUCAGGGCCUCCCUCAGGACCUCACUCAAGACCUCCCUCAGGGCCUCCCUCAGGACCUCCCUCAGGGCCUCCUUCAUGGCCUCCCUCAGGACCUCCCUCAAGACCUCCCUCAGGGCCUCCCUCAGGACCUCACUCAGGACCUCCCUCAGGACCUCCCUCAGGGCCUCCCUCAGGGCCUCCCUCAGGCCUCCCUCAGGACCUCCCUCAGGGCCUCCCUCAGGGCCUCCCUCAGGACCUCCCUCAGGGCCUCCCUCAGGGCCUCCCUCAGGGCCUCCUGCAGUACCUCCCUCAGGACCUCCCUCAGGACCUCCCUCAGGGCCUCCCUCAGGACCUCCCUCAAGAUCUCCCGCAGGGCCUCCCUCAGGGCCUCCCUCAAGACCUCCCUCAGGACCUCCCCUCAGGGCCUCCCUCAGGGCCUCCCUCAGGACCUCCCUCAGGGCCUCCCUCAGGACCUCCCUCAGGGCCUCCCUCAGGGCCUCCCUCAGGACCUCCCUCAGGACCUCCCUCAGACCUCCCUCAGGACCUCCCCCUCAGGGCCUCCCUCAGGGCCUCCCUCAGGGCCUCCCCGUCAGGGCCUCCCUCAGGACCUCCCUCACAUCCUGUCAUGUGUCCCUUGAAUCAGGCCAGGUAAGUCUCAGGAACUCUUUUUUUUUUUUCUUUAGAUUUUAUUUGCGAGAGAGAGUGAUGGGGGCAGGGGGUGAGGGAGCCGCAGGUCCCACUGAGCAGGGAGCCCGUGGGGGGCCCGAGCCCAGGCAGCACUUGAGCAACGAGGCGGCCGGGCGCCCCCAGGAGUCCCCGCAGCGGCCCAGUGCCCCAGAACCAGCUGGUUCCUUCUCUUUUGCUCUUGAAGAUGCGGGACGCCCUGCCCUUUGGAGAUUUAGGGUAAGACUGGCUCAGGCCCCGCUGCACGGCCUUCCCGCGGGGGCCUUGUCCCUGUCGUCCGCGGGCCGGUGA
rnacentral:lncRNA from 1 species